GGCUUGCCGGGAGAAGUGGGGGCUCCAGGAGAAAGAGGAGCUGGUGAGCCCGGUGCCAAGGGUGAACCAGGAUCACCAGGACUGUCAGGUUUGCCUGGACUUCCUGGAGAGGACGGAGCUCCAGGACAAAAGGGUGAACCAGGAGCCGUUGGUCUUAGAGGUCCAGAAGGUUUCGCCUGGGAUUGGCACUCAGGGAGAAAAGG